rnacentral:tRNA from 1 species
GGAUAUAGCUCAGUUGGUAGAGUGCUUGCCUGGCAUGCAUACAGCCCUGGGUUCAGUCCCCAACACCA